rnacentral:rRNA from 1 species
GACGAACCGUGCGAACGUUAUUCGGAAUCACUGGGCUUAAAGCGCGUGUAGGCGGGCCAGCACGUCGGGCGCUGAAAUCCCCCGGCUCAACCGGGGAACGGGCACCGAUACGACUGGCCUGGAGGGGAGUAGGGGGACCUGGAACUUCCGGUGGAGCGGUGAAAUGCGCAGAUAUCAGGAGGAACACCGGUGGCGAAGGCGGGUCUCUGGGCCGAUACUGACGCUGAGGAGCGAAAGCGUGGGGAGCGAACAGG